AGGGGUGGAUGAUGCGUAGGUGCCGGGGUGAUAUAGGGAACGGUUGGAUGCUGAGGUGGUGCCGGGAAGAUGAUGAGGAUGAGGAUGGUGAGGAUGACUGGUGAGGUGCUAGGAUGGUGAGGUGAUACCGGACAUUGAGGAUGGGAAGAUGAGGACAGAAAGGAGAUUAGCCAGAAGAUGAGGGAAAGAUUAAAAAUUAAAAAAAAAGAUGAGGAAAAGAUGAGAAAGAUAAGGAGAGAAAGAAUAGGAAGAAAAUAAAAAUUUAAAAUCUAAAGAAAGAUUCAUGGAUC
rnacentral:lncRNA from 1 species